rnacentral:rRNA from 1 species
UACGGAGGGUGCAAGCGUUACUCGGAAUCACUGGGCGUAAAGAGCGCGUAGGCGGGAUAGCAAGUCAGAUGUGAAAUCCACGGGCUCAACUCGUGAACUGCAUUUGAAACUGUUUCCCUUGAGUGUCGGAGAGGUAAUCGGAAUUCCUUGUGUAGCGGUGAAAUGCGUAGAUAUAAGGAAGAACACCAGUGGCGAAGGCGGAUUACUGGACGAUAACUGACGGUGAGGCGCGAAAGCGUGGGGAGCAAACAGG